rnacentral:rRNA from 1 species
GACGAACGCUGGCGGCGUGCUUAACACAUGCAAGUCGAACGGGCCUGUCUUCUUUUUUGGGGGUGGGUUGAGUGGCGAACGGGUGAGUAUCACGUGAGUAACCUGCCCUUCGGUCCUGGAUAACCGCUUGAAAGGGCGGCUAAUACGGGGUGGUCCGGUUGGUCCGCAUGGGCUGGUCGGGAUAGAUUCACUGUUUUUGGUGUUUCGGCGGGGGAUGGGCUCGCGGCCUAUCAGCUUGUUGGUGGGGUGAUGGCCUACCAAGGCGGUGACGGGUAGCCGGCCUGAGAAGGUGGGCGGCCACACUGGGACUGAGAUACGGCCCAGACUCCUGCGGGAGGCAGCAGUGGGGGGUAUUGCACAAUGGGCGGAAGCCUGAUGCAGCGACGUCGCGUGAGGGAUGGAGGCCUUCGGGUUGUGAACCUCUGUUUCCGGUGGUGAAGGCCCUGUCCGUGUGGUGGGGUUGACGGUAGCCGGGGAUGAAGCGCCGGCUAACUACGUG